UGUCUUCAAUCCCUGUUUCAUUUACUCCGGAGUCUUCCGGGACCAUAUUGAAAGCCGUUAUCUGUCCAUCACGGUUUAAAAUCUGCUCAGCAACUUGCUGUGUCUUGGCCUUGGUCUCCAUGAAGAACACUCAUCAUGCCAGCUCCUACAAUGUAACCAGUUGAGCUUUCCAGAAGCGGUCUGUGUCUUGCUACUAGACCCUGGGACAAAGAGCCCGACAUUCAUGGGGUUUCCUUUGCCUCCUUUAGGGAGUGGACGCAGUACCCUGGGACCAAUCACACACCAUAAAUAGUCAAAGUGAAGAGUUUGCAAGCAAGACAGAUGUUACUGGUCUGAAAUAGUCCGUGAGUGCCCAGUAUCAUAAUGGGCUGAUUUGGGGAGAAAAAACUCAGAUUGGCGUUGGAAAGAUACACUUUAAUUACCAUGCAUCAUAUCACCUCCGAACAUGGAACCUUACUUUGUUAGGAAGAG
rnacentral:lncRNA from 1 species